rnacentral:ncRNA from 2 species
ACUAUGCGCGGCUCUUCAGGUGCUCUGUUUAUGCAGAGUUAAACGGGAAGUUGGUGACAAAUCCAACACUGCCCCCGCAACGGUAAACGUUGAAAAGCACAUCAUUAAGCCACUGCGAAUGUCGUGGGAAGGCGAUGUGUCAGGCGAUAGCCACAACGUAAGUCCGGAGACCGGCCUGAGGUUUCGUAACAAC